rnacentral:rRNA from 1 species
GAUGAACGCUGGCGGCGUGCAUAACACAUUCAAGUCGAACGGAGCUUUAAGAAUUAAUCCUUCGGGAAGCGUUUUUAAAGCUUAGUGGCGGACGGGUGAGUAACGCGUGAGCAACCUGCCUGCGAUAGAGGAAUAACACAUGGAAACGUGUGCUAAUACCGCAUGAGGCAACCGACCCGCAUGAGUUGGUUGUUAAAGAGAAAUCGAUCGCAGAUGGGCUCGCGUAUGAUUAGGCAGUUGGUAGGGUAACGGCCUACCAAACCUACGAUCAUUAGCCGAACUGAGAGGUUGAACGGCCACAUUGGAACUGAGAAACGGUCCAG